rnacentral:rRNA from 1 species
AGUGAACGCUGGCGGUAGGCCUAACACAUGCAAGUCGAACGGCAGCACAGUAAGAGCUUGCUCUUACGGGUGGCGAGUGGCGGACGGGUGAGGAAUACAUCGGAAUCUACUUUUUCGUGGGGGAUAACGUAGGGAAACUUACGCUAAUACCGCAUACGACCUACGGGUGAAAGCAGGGGAUCUUCGGACCUUGCGCGAUUGAAUGAGCCGAUGUCGGAUUAGCUAGUUGGCGGGGUAAAGGCCCACCAAGGCGACGAUCCGUAGCUGGUCUGAGAGGAUGAUCAGCCACACGGGAGAGGAGACACGGACAAGAGUCCUACGGGAGGCAGCAUUGGGGAAGAUUGGAGAAUGGGUGCAAGCCUGCUCCAGCUAGAACGCGUGGUUGAAGAAGAAAUUAGAGGUGUAAAGCACUUUUGUGGGGAAAGAAAAGCAGCAGGUUAAUAACCCGCUGUUCUGACGGUACCAAAAGAAGAAGAACCGGCUAAAAUAGUG